AUUAGUAGGUUAGUCAAAUGAAUGCAUUUGGAUGAAGAAUUGACUCUUAACUUAAUCUACCAUGUCUUGGAAGGAAUUGAGGAAGUUGGGAUUGUAUUUAUAUAAUAGAGAUAAUUGUAGAAUUAUUGCUCAUGUUAGCUAUCCCACAAGGCAGAGAAUUAGCAUUAUAUAGUUUAGGGAAAAAUUAUUUCCAAAAAAAAGAGUAAAUGAGUUUAAUUUAAUCAUCAAUAUUUUCAUUCUAAGGAAAAGAACAUGGGCUUUUGUGUUCAAAAACCUGAAUUUGAAUCUAACUUUGGGUAGAAUGUGUUAACUAUUUUGAGGUUCAGUUUUUCCAUCUAGAAUUUCCUUAAAUUUUAAUUUUCUUCAGGUUACUGAAUUUCAUUUUUAUUUGCUGAAUUUUAUUAUAAGCCACAUACGUUGGCUAUUCAAAAGUGGUUUCAGAGAUUUAACUUGUGCUCCAUCUUUUAUUGUGUUGCUAGGAUGGGAUCAUCAGAUAAUUUGUGAAAAUCUACAGUACUCUAACGGGAGUUCAUCAGGUUCCCACUGAGAAUGUGCAAGGUGCAUUUCACAGAGAGGUCAUUUGAUCUUUUGGUAAAGAAUCUAAAUGGGAAGAGUUACUCCAUGAUUGUGAACAAUCUCUUGAAACCGAUCUCUGUGGAAGGGCAGUU